rnacentral:rRNA from 1 species
CUACGGGGGGCUGCAGUGGGGAAUAUUGGACAAUGGGCGAAAGCCUGAUCCAGCCAUGCCGCGUGUGUGAAGAAGGCCUUCGGGUUGUAAAGCACUUUCAGUGGGGAAGAAAGCCUUGGGGCUAAUACCCUCGAGGAAGGACAUCACCCACAGAAGAAGCACCGGCUAACUCCGUGCCAGCAGCCGCGGUAAUACGGAGGGUGCGAGCGUUAAUCGGAAUUACUGGGCGUAAAGCGCGCGUAGGCGGUCUGAUAAGCCGGUUGUGAAAGCCCCGGGCUCAACCUGGGAACGGCAUCCGGAACUGUCAGGCUAGAGUGCAGGAGAGGAAGGUAGAAUUCCCGGUGUAGCGGUGAAAUGCGUAGAGAUCGGGAGGAAUACCAGUGGCGAAGGCGGCCUUCUGGACUGACACUGACGCUGAGGUGCGAAAGCGUGGGUAGCAAACAGGAUUAGAUACCCCCAGUAGUC